UACGAAGGUCCCGAGCGUUAUUCGGAUUUAUUGGGUUUAAAGGGUGCGUAGGCGGGUUAUUAAGUCAGUGGUGAAAGCCUUCAGCUUAACUGAAGAACUGCCAUUGAUACUGAUGAUCUUGAGUAUGAUUGAGGUGGGCGGAAUGUGUCAUGUAGCGGUGAAAUGCUUAGAUAUGACACAGAACACCGAUUGCGAAGGCAGCUCACUAAGCCAUAACUGACGCUGAUGCACGAAAGCGUGGGGAGCAAACAGG
rnacentral:rRNA from 1 species